ensembl:lncRNA
AGUCUGGAGUGAGCCAGGGUGGACAUGCUGCGGGGACGGUCUCCCGUCUAUAACUGUCCUCUGUGUCCUCCGGGCACACAGGGAACAGGAUUAAAGGUGCCAGAGAUGUGGGUCCCUACAGCGAUCUUGGACCUGCACAGAACACUGGAUCAUGCAACAAGCAGCCGGCAAAGCUCCAGGGAGGACGGAGUUGGAGUGUGCAGCCCUCGGCAGAACUUUGGAGGCCUGGGCAACACCAAGAACUAGAGAGGCUUGCAGCGCAGUUCUGGGCUCUGUGGCACGUGGCAUGGGAUCUGCAGCAAACUCAGUGAACGGCAGGCAGGACCUGGGCGAGCUGUUGAAAGUUGUCUUUGUUUACGGUCAUUCUCGGAUGCAAAGGCCCCAGAAGACUCUAAUCCUUGUGGAAGGAAAACGCGGCAUGAGGAGUCUAUUGUUGACCUUCCUGAAGUGGUUGCCCUCAAGAAGAAACACGAGGCAUCCUUGCAUCUGGCCGAGGCUCACGGCAUGGGGGCCCGGGCCCUGCAGCCGAGCUGCUGUGGAAUAGCUCAGCCUGGAUCCCGAGGCUGCGGAUGUUACGAUGGGAGCAUCCGCGAAGAGCUCUGGUGCUUCAGGAGGAUGCAUUGAAGGCAAGGAGGAGCGGACGGGCUCUCCGUGGACUCCUGUCAGUGCCACGCACGCCACCCCGCCGUCACCACCUGCAGUGCUGCGAUCCCUCGGUGGAGUGUGUCAUGGAGCGGGAUGGCGCAGCCCAGGUAAAGAGCGUGCGCAGCGGUUAGCGGAAAACACCCGCAUUUCGGAAGAGCCUGGGAGAGAUGCGCUUCCUCACCUGUGGCAACAAGGAUUUUCUGGCGCUCUGCGGGCUGCCGAAAUUGAUGCCUUUGGACCAGCUGCUGGAGCAGAACCUCGGUGUGGUUGGGGUGGGAUCUCCUGCCACCUCAGUGAUUGAGUCCAGAGCCAGGCUCGCCUGCAUGAACUCAUGCCAAAGAAAUAGUGCCUGCUGCUUUAAAGGACAGAUGAAGCUGGGGACCGAUUGCAGCUGGAGCAUUCCUGUCAUCUGUUGGUGCCUCUACUGGAGAGGCCCCUGGACUAGGCUACGCGUGAAGAAAUAGAAGACUGGGUCUUUCUUGCGCUCCCUUAGAGGAACUGUCCCUCACCCAGGACAGUGUGUGGCCUUUCUGAGCCAGUUCAAGGAACUGUGGCCAUCUCACGAAAAAGACAUUUCCUCCGCUACUGAAGGUGGCCCCCUCACUCCGAGCGGCGUUUUGCAAACUGUAAGAAAAGGCUUCACAUCCUUCCUUUGCUAAAUCUCACCUUUAACAAUGAAAGCGACACCCCUUGCUUUUCUGGUUCGUUAAACAGAUGUUUCAUUUUAAAGAAACCCAGAAAUCUAGGAAUGUCACAUCCUUGCAAUUUUAAGAGUCCACUAGUACAGGGUUAUCAAAAAUGCAAGUGGAAAAGCAUGUCGGCCGGCGAGUCAGCAGAUUGUCAUCAUAAAUACAAUGCCCACUGGAUGCCACGCGCCACUUGACCUCCAAACCUCAUAGCAGCACUAUGGGGCAGGAGCUCCUGCUUCCAGUUUAUAAGGGAAGACUUGAGGUCCUGGGGCUUUAAGCAUCUUGUACAGGCAGAUUGGUCUGACUUCAGAGAACCUGCACCAACACACUGAAAGAUGUUGUUUCUGCUCGUUUCUAGUUAGGGCAUGGGCAAGCGUAUGACGGAAGAACACUAUCAGCCUCCACGGGAAAGCACUCCAGGAGCCGAUGUGGGUCCAAAUAUACAGUUCAUAGCUGCUGAACAAAAGCCAGGUGGCUGAGAUGGAGCCAGCAGGAAGGCUGGGGCAGGCAGAGAUGGACAAGCAGCUGCCUUUGAGUUGCUGUGGCAGCAACAUAGCGGCCAGUGGUUUGGCAAAGAAGGUAACAUCAAGGCUUGGUCAAUGCAGCAGGGGCAAGAGUCCAAGCAGUGCUACCCCAACUUGACAAGAGAGGCAGAGAAACCCAAGAAUUCCAGCUCAUCUGUCUGGACACUCCACAGCCACCAAAGAGCCAGCACUAUCUCCCUGGAUCUGGGCACCUUCCAACCUUGAGAAGACUCAGGACGGCAGAAUGGUGUGCUGUGAGGAAGUCUGGAGGCAGCUAGCCUUGGAGUCUGCUCUGUGGCAGCUGCCCACUUCCUGGACCCAGGCUGGCCACAGGCUCUCCCAGGCAUCCUGCAGUCAGAAGGAGGAAGAGGAGAGAAAAGGGAUAAAGGAGAGAACAAAGCUGUCAACACUCUUGUUGGAGGGACUUGAAUUAACCACUCAGAAUUCUGGCAUGAAUGGAGAGGGCUGCUCCCACAGUAUAACUGCGCCAUGCCUUGCACCAACUCUCUGCAUCCUGAUUUUAGACAGGAGGACACACCAAUUUGAAGAAAUGAUGCUAUUUCCAGGGCUGAGAGCCCUGGAAGAAUCCAGACGGGUCUGUCUGCUGCAUUGUAGAGCUGUAAUGUAAUGUAAUGUAAUGUAAUGUAAUGUAAUGUAAUGUAAUGUAAUGUAAUGCAAUGCAAUGUAAUGUAGAGUCUCUUAUGUAACU